rnacentral:rRNA from 1 species
UACGGGGGGGGGCAAGCGUUGUUCGGAAUUACUGGGCGUAAAGGGCCAGUAGGCGGCCAACUAAGUCGGAUGUGAAAUCCCCAGGCUCAACUUGGGAACUGCAUCCGAUACUGGAUGGCUUGAAUUCGGGAGAGGGAUGCAGAGUUCCAGGUGUAGCGGUGAAAUGCGUAGAUAUCAGGAGGAACACCGGUGGCGAAGGCGGGGUCCUGGGCCAGUACUGACGCUGAGACGCGAAAGCGUGGGGAGCGAACAGG